CACAGCAGCCCUGCCUUCAGUGGAGGAGGCAUGGCCCCUUCAGAACAGCCUCUGUCCAGGGAUGCAGAAAAGAAGGAAAAACCACCACAUGGUGCUGUCAGGGGUCCCAGGCUCCACAGAAAAGAUAUUCUUGAGAGACAAUGAAAACGGAAACAACACAAAAUGAAAAUGGAUCUUAGCUCCCUGACCAGGGAUUUAACCUGUGCCCCCUUGCAGUGGAAGCAUGGAAUCCUAACCACUGGACUGCCAUGGAGUUUGGGAUUGACAUGUACCCACUGCUGUAUUUUAAAUA